rnacentral:rRNA from 1 species
GAUGAACGCUGGCGGCGUGCCUAAUACAUGCAAGUCGAGCGAACGGACGAGAAGCUCGCGUCUCUGAUGUUAGCGGCGGACGGGUGAGUAACACGUGGAUAACCUACCUAUAAGACUGGGAUAACUUCGGGAAACCGGAGCUAAUACUGGAUGAUAUUUUGAACCGCAUGGUUCAAAAGUGAAUGACGGUCUUGCCGUCACUUAUAGCUGGAUCCGCGCUGCAUUAGCUAGUUGGUAAGGUAACGGCUUACCAAGGCAACGAUGCAUAGCCGACCUGAGAGGGUGAUCGGCCACCCUGGAACUGAGACACGGUCCAGACUCCUACGGGAGGCAGCAGUAGGGAAUCUUCCGCAAUGGGCGAAAGCCUGACGGAGCAACGCCGCGUGAGUGAUGAAGGUCUUCGGAUCGUAAAACUCUGUUAUUAGGGAAGAACAUAUGUGUAAGUAACUGUGCACAUCUUGACGGUACCUAAUCAGAAAGCCACGGCUAACUACGUG